UACGUAGGCAGCGAGCGUUGUUCGGAAUUACUGGGCGUAAAGAGUGUGUAGGCGGUGCUCUAAGUUCGGUGUGAAAUCUCCUGGCUCAACUGGGAGGGUGCGCCGGAAACUGGAGUGCUUGAGCGUGGGAGAGGAAAGCGGAAUUCCUGGUGUAGCGGUGAAAUGCGUAGAUAUCAGGAGGAACACCUGUGGUGUAGACGGCUUUCUGGACCAUAGCUGACGCUGAGACAACGAAGCGUGGGUAGCAAACAGG
rnacentral:rRNA from 1 species